rnacentral:rRNA from 1 species
GUUCUUCGGAACUAGAGACCGGCGCACGGGUGCGUAACGCGUAUGCAAUCUACCUUUUACAGAGGGAUUGCCCAGAGAAAUUUGGAUUAAUACCUCAUAGUAUGCAGAGUUGGCAUCAACUUUGCAUUAAAGUCACAACGGUAAAAGAUGAGCAUGCGUCCCAUUAGCUAGUUGGUAAGGUAACGGCUUACCAAGGCGACGAUGGGUAGGGGUCCUGAGAGGGAGAUCCCCCACACUGGUACUGAGACACGGACCAGACUCCUACGGGAGGUAGCAGUGAGGAAUAUUGGACAAUGGGCGCAAGCCUGAUCCAGCCAUGCCGCGUGCAGGAUGACGGUCCUAUGGAUUGUAAACUGCUUUUGCACAGGAAGAAACAACUCUACGUGUAGAGUCUUGACGGUACUGUGAGAAUAAGGAUCGGCUAACUCCGUGCCAGCAGCCGCGGUAAUACGGAGGAUCCAAGCGUUAUCCGGAAUCAUUGGGUUUAAAGGGUCCGUAGGCGGUUUAGUAAGUCAGUGGUGAAAGCCCAUCGCUCAACGGUGGAACGGCCAUUGAUACUGCUAGACUUGAAUUAUUAGGAAGUAACUAGAAUAUGUAGUGUAGCGGUGAAAUGCUUAGAGAUUACAUGGAAUACCAAUUGCGAAGGCAGGUUACUACUAAUGGAUUGACGCUGAUGGACGAAAGCGUGGGUAGCGAACAGGAUUAGAUACCCUGGUAGUCCACGCCGUAAACGAUGGAUACUAGCUGUUGGGAGCAAUCUCAGUGGCUA